rnacentral:rRNA from 1 species
UACGAAGGGGUGCAAGCGUUACUCGGAAUUACUGGGGCGUAAAAGCGUGCGUAGGUGGUUUUGUUAAGUCUGUUGUGAAAAGCCCCCGGGCUCAACCUGGGAAUGGCAAUGGAUACUGGCAGGCUAGAGUGCGGUAGAGGGGUAGUGGAAUUCCCGGUGUAGCGGUGAAAUGCGUAGAGAUCGGGAGGAACACCAGUGGCGAAGGCGGCUACCUGGACCAGCACUGACACUGAGGCACGAAAGCGUGGGGGAGCAAACAGG